GUCUGCUUCAGAUUCUGUGUCUCCCUCUCGCUCUGCCCUUCCCCUGCUUGUGUCCAGUCUUUCUGUCUCUCUCAAAACAAAUAAACAUUAAAAAAAAAAAAAAGUUAUUUUCUCCUUGUAUUAUCUUCAUUUCCUUCAUCCAAAAAGUUUUCUUCCUGAGAAGAAACUUGCUUUUGACUUUUUUUUUUCUUUUUUUCAGAUUCAAGGCUGUCCUCAAAUGUCUAAUGACUUUUGGCUACUGGUUCCUGAAAUAAUAUUUUUUCUCUGUUAUUGCCCAUGGAAUGAAGACCAACUCAACUCUCAAGAGCAAGCUGAAGCCAAACACUGAACAAAAUGGACAAACCUGAAAUAUGGCACAUCAUGUUGUGGCUGAGAUACCUGAUCUUCAUUUAUUUCAAGUGACGGGACUUCUUUUGUUGGGAGGCCAUUUGAAUUUUUAGUAGUUUCAUCUUUAUUUAAGACGUGUUCUACAAAGAAAACACCACAGGUUUCCCAUCUCUUCUGAGUCUGUGUGGCUCUAAACAAACCUCUGAUAAAUCAUAGUCCGGAAGGACUUAUUUCAACCUGGAAAAGAAUUUAAGGGAGAUACUAUCUCUGAGGCCAACAUGGAAGUGAAAGUAAAAACCUAGUGAUAAUCCUUAAAGAGGAAAUCAAUCUUAAGGGAAGAACAUGAGGUCCAGCUGCUUACUCGUGAAGAUUCACCCUAUACUGUCUUCCUGGAGGAUCCAGAUUUGAUUUUUUAGUAAAAUCUAGCCAGGUUUUUUACAGCUUGGCAAAACUUUUAUUUUUAAGGUUAAGGAAUUAUAAUGUGGCUUAUAAACCAAGGAACUGGGCCC